UCUAUUUUGUGCAAAGACCACAACACAACAGAAGUGUUUCCAGAGGACACUUAAAAGUGAUGCACACGUCCGGACAGCUACUAAGGUUCUCUUACCAUCAGUGGUGUUGGAAAAUGAGAUAACAAAGUGCAGGAAAGAAAACAACACCCAGGAAGGCAUCCUUGUCCUCAUCUUCACACUUCAGCAAACACUCCCAGAACAAGUCAGCCAUCUUCUGCGGUCCUUGAAGAGUCUCGGGGUUUAGAGUCUCCCAGCAUGCAUCAGGAGGCCGAUGAAUAGCAAUCUGGCCUUGCCCCCUUCGAUGCUUGGUGCGUGCAUUGUGCAUAAUGCAUCGCAGCAGCAGGACAGGGGUAAUUACCACAAUCAGAGGAGAGGAUCAUCAAUCUCAGGUGAACCGCGGGGAGUAAAUGAAGCAGAGAGGAGGAGAAGGAGAGAAAGACGACGCUCUGCAGGAGAGAGAGAGAGAGACAAAGCUCUGUUUGUUGGUUCCCUCUGAAAACUCCAAGGCUUUAUUUCAGAAAAUUGCCACCUGCAUAAUUAAUCACAAUACCAUUAAUUUAUUUUGAUCUAUCUUCUCUCUUACCUGGAAUGCACCUGCUGUUCACAGCUGCAUCAGAAACAGCUCUCUCAUGAUUCAUGAAGAAGCUUUUAUAAAAGGACAAAGGAUGAUGAUGCCAGUGAUGAAUGUAACAGAGCUUUAAGAAGCAGAGGAAUGUCUUCCUCUUUAUCUUCUGGGACUCGUGACAGGAUCAUCAGUUUUUACAGAUAUGCCAAAAAAUAAAUAAACUCACUUUUGAAAAGCAACAAGA